rnacentral:rRNA from 1 species
AUGAACGCUGGCGGCGUGCCUCAUACCUGCAAGUCGAGCGCACAGACGAGAGUGCUUGCACUCUCUGACGUUAGCGGCGGACGGGUGAGUAACACGUGGGUAACCUACCUAUAAGACUGGGAUAACUUCGGGAAACCGGAGCUAAUACCGGAUAAUAUUUAGCUUCGCAUGAAGCAAUAGUGAAAGACGGUUCUGCUGUCACUUAUAGAUGGACCCGCGGUGUAUUAGCUAGUUGGUGAGGUAACGGCUCACCAAGGCAACGAUACAUAGCCGACCUGAGAGGGUGAUCGGCCACACUGGGACUGAGACACGGCCCAGACUCCUACGGGAGGCAGCAGUAGGGAAUCUUCCGCAAUGGACGAAAGUCUGACGGAGCAAUGCCGCGUGAGUGAAGAAGGUUUUCGGAUCGUAAAACUCUGUUGUAAGGGAAGAACAAGUACGUUAGUAACUGAACGUACCUUGACGGUACCUUACCAGAAAGCCACGGCUAACUACGUG